GGAAAUUCUGCAACAAAUUAGAACAUGAAGCAUCAAAUUGUGAUCUUAGUUGAACAUCUGUUACACCUGCCACUGUCCAAAGAAAACAGACAACUCCAUCAAAAACAGGUAUUUCCAACAAAAAUUAGUACUUUGCAGCACCUGUGUUUUACUAAUGACACACACUGUGAUAGGAAUGCUAUGAGUAAAUAAUUAAAGUAUUAAGAGCAUAUUAGCAACUCAUUAAUGAGCCUGUUAGGGAAGUUUGAUUAUAAAUAGAGGUUAAGGGAAUGAGGAAGGUAAGCUAUAUUUUGAAGUAUGAACUACGACGUGAGAGCAUCUCAAGUUUGGGCGGGUCCAAGUACCUCGGACACUUGGUUUAUCAUGUAAUUCAAUAUCAUUUUAUAUUUAAUAUAUUCAGGUUCUAUUGUUUCUUUCCAGCAACCAUGUCACAAAAGUGCAUGCAACAACAAAAACAGGAGCUAAAAAACAAAAAAGUUUGUACUCGUAUUUCUAUCCUUAAAAAGUGUACAACAACCCAUCAAUAACUGUCGGAUUAUGCCCACUUUGGAUUCCUCAGGAUCUUGUCAACCUCAUUAGUUGAACUACUAGGAGCUCUGAAGACCGGAAAGUUGAAAUAUUUGCAAGGACAACUUAAACUAGAGUAAGUCUUCCUCCUUUAGAUAUGCUAGUUGGGGAUUCCUUUAGAUAUGCCUACUUUGAGGAUCGAUUCCCAUGGAAAGUUCCAAUUACCAAAGGGGCUACUAAGCUGAAGUGAAAGAGAAGUUAUUAGCCCACCACCACUAAUCUACAAACAUUUUUUUUAUAUAACAGCAUUCAUUGAAAAAAAAAAUUAAAGAAUACAAGAGCAUACAAAAACAAAGCCCACAAUAACAAAUUCCACUAAUGAAAGGGUUUCCAACUAACUAAGAUAUUGUCUAGCAAAUAAUAACAAAAGAUCUUCGAAAUCGAAGCCCAAAUAGAAACAUAGAACCUCGACAAGGACUAAAACUCACAAGGGUUCUUAUCCACACCUCAAAAUACUCCAUUGUUCCUCUCCCCCCAAAUAUCCCACAACAAAGCACACACCCCCAUGAAACACAAAAAACGACCUUUUUCUUUGAAAGGUGGAUGAAGGCAGAACUCCCCCAUCAUCAAACAAAUGUCCCUUUGGCGAGCAAUCACAAGCUCAAACUCCUAAGAUAACAAUUCUACACCAGUCCCGCAAACUUCCACUCCAAAGAAGGUGGUCAAAGUUUUCCUCAGCCUUCCGACAAACGAUACAACAAAAAUGAUCCAUUAACAAAGGCAUAUUUCUCGAGGUUCCAUUGUGUUCACACGGCUGAGAGAACUUGCCAAUGUCAAGGAAAACUUGACUUUCUCCAGACAUUGAUCCUCACCACUGUAUUGCAGAUUUAUGCAUCAAACCUUUUUUUUUCUUCUAGAAAAAAAAUCCUUUCAAGGACUACCAAAUAAGUGGUCAAUUUUUUAUUUGCCAAAGGGAGCAAGAGGAUUGUAAUUUGCAAACUGAGAUGAUCAACUUUGUUUCCAUGGCUCCUGGAAAAAACCUACUCAAGUCAAAAAAGGUACAGUAAUAAAGGAUCUCUUGGUCUCAAUUCAACUCUCUCAAGUGUUUAACUUCCCUCUUGAUCUCUCAUAAAAUAUAAGCUAUGAAGAUUGUAUGCAAAAGGAAUCCUCUGUUGCACAUUCCUGAAUUUGAGUCAAAGCCUUUUCCUUGAGAUUGGUAAUCACAAAUUCUGAUCACCAAACAGUACAGUUUCUCAUGGUUAAGUUUAUAGACCCCCCUUCUGCUUUUUUACUCCUCACUCAUCUUUGAGUGUGUUGAUAACAAGGAUGGGAUCCUAAACUUUUCCUUCUCCCACAAACACAACUUGACAUUUAAUAGUGAUUGAGGAAAAUUUGGCUACAAUCCCUCUUCCAACACUUUUUCCACCCCCUUCUAUUGAUGUUGUUAGAAUUAGCAGGCUUGUUGUAUGUUGAAAGCCCAAAGGUUUUCAGUCUUUUAUGUUUCCCUAAUGGUCUUUCAUUCUUUUAAUUAGGUUUGUAUUGCCUAUAAAUUAAUGCUCUCAUGUAUCAUUAGUUUUAUUAAGAAAGAUUUACACCGUAGUUUUUCUCCCAGAACUAGGGUUUCCACAUAAAACUUGUGUUUGUUCUUUGUCUCUACAUUCAAUAGAUGCUAUAUGUGAUAUUACCAUCCUGAAAUAGUCCUGUAACAUAGUCAUUACUCAUUGGAUGAUCUUGUUCCAAGACUUAUUAAAGGCAACGUGGACCAGGAUUGAAGACUACGAUCUACGAAUGAAAUUUCUUCAUUGAAUUUCAGUAAAACUUUGAAAUUGACACUUUGACAAGUGAGAUAGGAUCCUAGGUUAGAUGCCUGGGAAAGAAAUUUUUACCAUUUUUCUGUAGUCCACAACCUUUGAACAAAGAAGUAAAAAAAUUCAAGUUCUACUGUUGGUCACAAAUCGACUUCUCACAUCACUGGUCAGCACCUCCAAACAUCUACCUACAAUAAAGCUAUUUAUCCUGCUGGCCAUAAAAUUCUAUAGAAAAUGCUAGAGUUUCGAUCUCCCUCCUGAAGGGAUUUUGGUGUCACCUCUGAAGCCAUAAAACUUCCUUGCAUUGAAUCUAUGUUUUCAUUCAAAAUGCCCCUUUUGUCCGGCAACUCCAGGAUAAGGGAUUUUUUCUAUAAGCUCUUUAUUUAAAUAUUUGUCAUCAUUAUUAAUAUUAGUAGUAGUAUUAUUUUAGAUAUCAUUGCACCUUGACUAACAGCAAACAAAUAUGAAACACAAUGAUUAUAGCUAAAAUCAAACCACCAACUAGCAUCUGAGGUUACUGCUCACAAACAAUAAAAUCUUUUUAAGAAUUAGUAAAGUUACAGCUCUCGAUUCUGGCCAAUUUCAAACAAUCAUCAGACAUCAGUCAUAAUUUACCAGAGUGAUGGCAAGAACAUCACAACUUGGGAAAGACAACAAUCUUACUAAAAAGUCUACAGCAUUAACAAAUCAAUUAAGAGAGCCGGAUAGCUUUAUAUAUCAAUCAAGCGAAAUUAUGGGGCUGAGCAUUUAACACAAAUUCCAGACCCGUCACUACAAAAUCUAGAACGAGAAGCAGAAUUUGAAAACAGAAUUUCCAAAAAUGAACUGCAAAACGCAACGAAAUGAAUAGAGACGAAAGGAAUGGAAAACAAACCCGAGUUUGAAACAAUAUCGAGAAUAAAGUGGAGAGUUUAACACUUAGAUUACUCCCGAGCCUCUUGAUUAGCCGGACGAGCUCCUCUUUUGAAGAAAAUUCCGCCAUUAGAGAACCCUAAGACCCUGUGAUAUCGAAGAAUCCACGUCCGCCGCGGGGGUUGCUCAGUGGAUUACUAUUACGGCGGGAAGAGAAUACAUUUCCAUUCUGGUCUCCUCCAACCAUGAGAGCUUUCAAAGGAUUUUUUAAUAUUAUUAUUUUGAAAAGGAUUUUUUUAGUUUCAAAUAAGAGUUUCUGAAAAAUAAAAAAAUUGGCUAACUAUUUCGUCUAACAAAAUUCAUUAUUUUUCCAUCCAAUGUAAAUAUUUUAUUCUUAUUCAGUGUGUUUUUUUCAUCUUUUUUAAAUGAAAUAAGUUUUCUACUCUAUUGCUAAAUAUAUAGUUCAAUUGAUAUAAUGUUUAAGUUUUAAAAUUAAGUUGUUUGACUCAUCUAUCUUGUAUACAUACAUAGUUAAAAUAGUAAAUAAAUAUCACCUUUGAUAAAUUUUAACCUUGAAUAAUGAAAAGUUUUACAUUGAUUAAUUGUAAGUAAUAUUUACUCUACUUUUUAUACCAAGUCAAAUUUUACUCUUUAUUUUAUUAAAAGAAAUAACUUUUUUGGAACAAUCUUAAAGUUAGAAGAGCAAAAUUAGAAUUUUCCUGAGGUUCAGCCAAUUAACUAAAACUUAAUUCAAAAUUUUAAUUAAGGAUACUUAUGUAUAAUCUAACCAUUAUUAUUGUUAUAUUAUUAAAAAAUUUCAUGAUUUUUUUUCUCUAUUAAUGGAGCAAAAUCGACCUGAAAAUUACAAUGAAUUAUAAUACUAUGUUUUCUUAAUUUAUCAUUGAUUUACAUCCAAGAAGUCAGAUAGUAAAAUCCUUUAUUAUUUUCUUGUAAAAAGGUAUACAUAAGGAUUAGCCCAUAAACAGUUAAAAAAAUUUAAACCCAAAAGGAAUUUUAGAUCUAAAAAUUUAAUUUUUUUUUUAUGUAAUUUCUAUUUUUAAUUAUAUAAACUUAAAAACUUAAAAUAUCAUAAUCAAUUAGCUAAACUCAAAUUGAGUGGUUAUUUAAAAAUGGACGGUAUAUCUAACAGUCUUAACACUUUGCGUGUUUUUAGAAUAAGGUUAAAAUUAGAGCCUGUUUUUAAAUAUUAGAUUUAGAUCAGCUUAAUCAGUAAUGUAAUCUUAAUUAUAUAUAGAAAGUGUUAACUACUAAUGGAAUAAUAAUCCAAAUGGGAUAUGGUUGUGGGAAGUUGUUCUUUGUUCCCACUUUUUCCAAUCAAGUUAGGUCUUGUAUUCUUCGCUUUUUCUUCAACAAGUUUUCAUCAGCCUAACCCUAUCUUCUUCAUCUCCCCAAAAUUCUUCUUUCUUCUUUUGCAAGGUGCAACAUUUGGAGGUUAAAUAUUAAAUCUCUCUAACUUAGCGAUACAAUAAUUAAAUUUACCUUCAACUAUUAGUUUAGUUUAAGUUUUUUUUCAUGAAUUGACGGUUUAAUAUAGUAUCAGAGAGGUCCUUGCAUUGUCGUUUCCUUUCCAAUUAAAAUUGAUUUUCACUUGUUGGACAUUUCUACAAUAAUUAAAUUUGUCUUUAACCACUAGCUUAAGCUUUUAGAUGAAUUGGUUGUUUAAUAGUUUACACCUAUAUUAGUUUAAGUUUUUGGAUAGACUGAUGGUUUAAAAUGGUAUUAGAGAAUCCCAGAAUUCUUUGAGAUUAUUUUCUUAGCCUCGUGUUUAAGUACUUAUCAUGUUAUUUCCUCCUCAAUUAAUAUUAAUUUUCACUUAUUAAGUCUUUCUUGAUAAGUGUUAGAUAUUAAAUUUGUUUUCACCUAUCAACUUAGUGAUUUAAGGUAUGUAGUCAAAGUUUGGCCAAGUUAGAUAAAAUUAGUGUCGAUCUUUGUUACGGUAGGUAGAAAUUAAAAUUAAUUAACAAUAUUGACAUUCAAACCACUCUUAUUUUCUUUUGGUUCACACAUUCCUACAACUCAUACCUUCUCCUACCUAAGUCACUAACCACACUUCUUAUUCUCACCCACCUAAUAGCAUUAACAUUAUUUACUUGUGUAUUAGGCAUGUGAUACGUUGAAUCACUUGUUACAGUUCCUGACUUUCUUUAUCAUAAGAAAAGUUUGUUGAUUUUUAUAAAAAAAAUUACAUUCUUUUGCAAAUUUGCAAUUUGAAUUUUAUACCAUAAUUUUAAAAUAUGCGAUGUUGAAAAACUACAAAAUAACGUAUUUUUUGUAUUAUGUAUGACUCCCACUCGUCUAUGUACAUCCUAUGCACUUCAAACGUGUCAAAGAGUUCAUACAUUGACAUAGGAACACUCAUUUGAAUUUUGAUUGACUCAAAAUCUAACGAGUCUUGAUUAUCUGUCAUUCAUAUGUGUUAAUUUAACUUUAGAGAUGUUUUCAAACUCUUCAAUAAACCUUAUUUUGAAUUUCCAUCAUGCACUAUCUAGCUUCUACUAAGCAUGUCCCUAACACUUCCCUCUCAACCUCUACUUUAACUUGUUGAUUGACAUGACAUAGACAUGCUUUUCAACGUAUGUUUCUUUCAUGUUUCCUCCCAGAAAUCAAUCAGUGAAGGAAAACGAAGGCCUUGGGCCUUGGCUAGAAGCAGUUAUCUACCCUAGGCUUAGCUUUUCUUCUGCUACUUCUCGUGCAACCACUUAUUUUACCGAUCUCACAACCUCUCUUUCUAAUAGCAUGGACAAUCUCGCAGCUUUAAUUUGCACCUUUCCACUCUGUAUUAUGAAUCCCCCUCUUAUCUUUCUCUCUCUCCCUCCUUGGUCUCGCCCUUUUUCUCUCUUCGGCGAGGAGUAGUCUUAACCCAUUAUCAAAUGAAUUAGCAUGUGUGCAUAAGAUAGUGUUCUAAUGCUACCUAUAAUUAAGUAUCAUAGUUAUAUGUUGUUGAAUAAAGGAUAUAUUGGAUAAGUGCAUGAAUGUGUUAAAAUAUUACAAUUGAUCUAGAGAUUAUUGAGCUAGAUCAAACAUAAAUUUAAUCAAAUAUGAACUAGUUAAAAAGUAAUUAUCUUCGCACUGACACAUGUUGCCAAAGAAAAUACAAAGUCCAAAGUGCUAUCUGCCCAAAUGUGUUGAAUAGUUUCAAAUAUAACCACACCCAACUAAAAAAGUCUGGAAAAAUUAACUUAGUUGAUCACAUCCAUCAAAUUAAACCGGUGAACCUAAUGUGUUCAAACUUCAAAGAAAUUAAAUUCUUGUGUAUGAUAUGUUGAUGAGUAGGUAUAACACCUUGAUGAGUAGGUACAACAAGUCAAAGUGUCAAGCCGAUUUGGGUCGGUGUAACAUGUGUCUUAUCCUGUUCCAUUUAAAGUUGACAACAUCAUUUUAUUGUUAGGUUAUACAGGGUAACUAAAUACUCUCUCAAUUAUUCCUUGUUUUAUUACAUUGUUAUCUUUUAAAAAUAAUAAAGGAUAUAUAACAGUAUUUAAGAAUAUUUGUGAAGCAGAAUCACGAUGGAAAUUAAUUUAAAAAGAGAUGUAUUUAUUAAAAGAAUCUCAAUUGUGUAAUACACUGUCUAAGCUUAAAAAAAUAGAUUGAGUGUAUCCAAGACCAACUGAAAAGAUAUCUAAUUAAGUUUCGUACAACACCAAAAAGAUCUUGAAACUCAGAUUAAAGAAAAGACCUUCACUUUAAUAAUUGACCACUCACAUAAGCUCCACCACUAGAAUUAGAAAAUAGGAGGAGAAAAAAAUUAAAUAUUCACAAAUUUCAUAAUGGUGUCUAAUCUUCUUCUUCUUUUUUUUUUCCUUUUAAACUUUAAAUUCACCCAUUAUAUAUCAAUUGAGUUAUGGUAUGAGUUAGUUAUUAAAUGUAAAAGAAUGUUCUUGGUUGGUAUACCUAUGAGUGUUUAAAUUUUGAUUUGAUAAGAACAAAAUAUUAGAAAAGGGGUGGCAGGAGCAGGGGGACAUGAUCUCCUAAAAUCAGAGAUUUUUCACUUUAAUUAUAAGUUUAUAACAUGGAAGAAAAAUAAUGAUAAUGAUAAUAAUAAACAAGGCCAAAUUAAAGAAGGAAAUUACAGAAAGAGACAAGGAGUUUUCAAAACUUGGGAGCAAUUCUGAACAAAACUAUCUGAAUCACAGUGGUAAUUAAGGAAAUUCCUCUCCCUACUCACAAGACUUGGAGGAAGCACAACCUCCAUGGAAGCUCCCAAUAGAUACCGUUGCGUGUGGCUCUGGCAGGUGUUGCAAAGCAAGCACCGGACGUGCCGCAGGGCCAAGAAAUUCGCGCUGUGAACCGAUUUGUCGCACUUCCCGCACAAAUACGCCUCGUCGGCUUCGCAAUACAGCGACGCCCUGGAACCGCAUAGCUCACACCGUACAGGAUCGCCACCGCCGGCUGCCCCGUCAUCGGUGGUCCGACGUUGCCGGACGGCGACUUGGGUCGUUUCUUCCUGUUCUACACCUUUGCACAUGAUUGUUUAAUUUGUUGGAAAUGGAAGCUUGAUUGUCAAGGAAAUGGGGAUUUUGAGGGUGUUGAUUUAUAUAUAGAAGGUUGGUAAAUAGGACAAGAAGGAAAAGCAAGUUUCAUUAUUUAUAAUCAAUCAUACCCUUUAUGUUAUUUUUUUAUUUAGAUAUAAAAUAAAACAUUAUAAAAUUUUACAAUUCAA
rnacentral:lncRNA from 1 species